rnacentral:rRNA from 1 species
CCCUUAGAUGUUCUGGGCCGCACGCGCGCUACACUGAUGCAUUCAACGAGUCUAAAACCUGGUCUGAUAGGGCUGGGUAAUCUUUUGAAUGUGCAUCGUGAUUGGGAUAGAUGAUUGCAAUUCUUCAUCUUCAACGAGGAAUGCCUAGUAAACGCAAGUCAUCAGCUUGCAUUGAUUACGUCCCUGCCCUUUGUACACACCGCCCGUCGCUACUACCGAUUGAACGUUUUAGUGAGGUAUUUGGACUGGGCCUUGGGAGGUUUCGGCCUCCCUUGUUGCUCGGAAAGACUCCCAAACUUGAGCGUUUAGAGGAAGUAAAAGUCGUAACA